ACGCUCGACACCUACGGGAGCAGCAGUGGGGAAUAUUGCACAAUGGGGGAAACCCUGAUGCAGCGACGCCGCGUGAAGGAAGAAGUAUUUCGGUAUGUAAACUUCUAUCAGCAGGGAAGAAAAUGACGGUACCUGAGUAAGAAGCACCGGCUAAAUACGUGCAGCAGCCGCGGUAAUCUGAGCGGGCUGGCAAGGC
rnacentral:rRNA from 1 species